AGUUCAUGAUGUGGGUAAUUCCUUAGUAAGAUCUUGUACCUUUCCCAAGCUUCAUAAAGUGACUCUCUAGCUUGUUGUUCAUAGUUGGCUAUGGCUUUCUUGAACUU